GUCAAAGCGUUCAUUAAAGUCGAGUUGGCUUAGGGAUACGUUCGUUGGGUAGGGGAGCGUUCUGUAAGCCUGUGAAGGUGUGUCGUGAGGCAUGCUGGAGGUAUCAGAAGUGCGAAUGCUGACAUAAGUAACGAUAAAGCGGGUGAAAAGCCCGCUCGCCGGAAGACCAAGGGUUCCUGUCCAACGUUAAUCGGGGCAGGGUGAGUCGACCCCUAAGGCGAGGCCGAAAGGCGUAGUCGAUGGGAAACGGGUUAAUAUUCCCGUACUUGGUGUUACUGCGAAGGGGGGACGGAGAAGGCUAUGUUGGCCGGGCGACGGUUGUCCCGGUUUAAGCGUGUAGGUGUGUGUUCCAGGUAAAUCCGGUUCACUUUAACACUGAGGCGUGACGACGAGGCACUACGGUGCUGAAGCAACAAAU
rnacentral:rRNA from 3 species